AUUGAACGCUGGCGGAACGCUUUACACAUGCAAGUCGAACGGCAGCACGGACUUCGGUCUGGUGGCGAGUGGCGAACGGGUGAGUAAUAUAUCGGAACGUGCCCAGUCGUGGGGGAUAACGUAGUGAAAAUUACGCUAAUACCGCAUACGAUCUAUGGAUGAAAGCGGGGGACCUUUUGGCCUCGCGCGAUUGGAGCGGCCGAUAUCAGAUUAGGUAGUUGGUGGGGUAAAGGCUCACCAAGCCAACGAUCUGUAGCUGGUCUGAGAGGACGACCAGCCACACUGGGACUGAGACACGGCCCAGACUCCUACGGGAGGCAGCAGUGGGGAAUUUUGGACAAUGGACGCAAGUCUGAUCCAGCCAUUCCGCGUGCAGGACGAAGGCCUUCGGGUUGUAAACUGCUUUUGUACAGAACGAAAAGGUUUCUACUAAUACUAGGAGCUCAUGACGGUACUGUAAGAAUAAGCACCGGCUAACUACGUGCCAGCAGCCGCCGUAA
rnacentral:rRNA from 1 species